rnacentral:rRNA from 1 species
GAUGAACGCUGGCGGCGUGCCUAAUACAUGCAAGUCGAGCGAACGGACGAGAAGCUUGCUUCUCUGAUGUUAGCGGCGGACGGGUGAGUAACACGUGGAUAACCUACCUAUAAGACUGGGAUAACUUCGGGAAACCGGAGCUAAUACCGGAUAAUAUUUUGAACCGCAUGAUUCAAAAGUGAAAGACGGUCUUGCUGUCACUUAUAGAUGGAUCCGCGCUGCAUUAGCUAGUUGGUAAGGUAACGGCUUACCAAGGCAACGAUGCAUAGCCGACCUGAGAGGGUGAUCGGACACACUGGAACUGAGACACGGUCCAGACUCCUACGGGAGGCAGCAGUAGGGAAUCUUCCGCAAUGGGCGAAAGCCUGACGGAGCAACGCCGCGUGAGUGAUGAAGGUCUUCGGAUCGUAAAACUCUGUUAUUAGGGAAGAACAUAUGUGUAAGUAACUGUGCACAUCUUGACGGUACCUAAUCAGAAAGCCACGGCUAACUACGUG